rnacentral:lncRNA from 1 species
GGCAAAUUUCUGGACAGUUUUGAGAUCUGUUUUCUGCUUCAUCUCAGCAGGUUUUCUGGUCAUUUUUUUGGUCAAUUUUUUUACCCAAAUCCUCAUUCUUGAAGUUCUAAUACAAAUUUUCACAGAAGCGUGCUCCAAGGAUUUUCAAAAAAGGUAUUUUUCAAACUCAAUUUCACGUUACCUUUUUCUACUAAACAACGAAUCCAAAUAGCUCCAACCUACGACCAAUAUAUUCAUCUCGAUUGCUCCUCAAUUUCUCCCACAAAUGACAAAAUAACGGUGAUGAUUUGUGGGCCACAAUGACUCAGGAAAAAACAAUGGAAGAAGGCAAGAGAAAGGACCAAAAUAUAGAAGAUGAAGGCACUGGUUUUCUUUAUAUGGAAAAGCCGAAUUUUACAAGAAGCAGUAGCUACAUUUUUCCUCUUUUUC